GGAGGGUAAAAGGUGUCCCUUAAUACACUGACUUCUAUUUCCUGGAAAAUUUCUCAUCAGUAUCAGGUGAAGUUUCCCCCUUUAUCAUAGGAUUCUUACACUCAGAAAAUGUGAACAUCCAUUAGUACACUUUCUGUGAAGCUCUUGGCACUCCGGUAGAAUGGAAC
rnacentral:lncRNA from 1 species